CCUACGGGAGGCAGCAGUGAGGAAUAUUGGUCAAUGGACGAGAGUCUGAACCAGCCAAGUAGCGUGAAGGAUGACUGCCCUAUGGGUUGUAAACUUCUUUCAUAUGGGAAUAAAACGUUCCACGUGUGGGAUUUUGUAUGUACCAUAUGAAUAAGGAUCGGCUAACUCCGUGCCAGCAGCCGCGGUAAUACGGAGGAUCCGAGCGUUAUCCGGAUUUAUUGGGUUUAAAGGGAGCGUAGGUGGAUUGUUAAGUCAGUUGUGAAAGUUUGCGGCUCAACCGUAAAAUUGCAGUUGAAACUGGCAGUCUUGAGGACAGUAGAGGUGGGCGGAAUUCGUGGUGUAGCGGUGAAAUGCUUAGAUAUCACGAAGAACUCCGAUUGCGAAGGCAGUUCACUGGACUGCAACUGACACUGAGGCUCGAAAGUGUGGGUAUCAAACAGGAUUAGAUACCCCGGUAGUC
rnacentral:rRNA from 1 species